GAUGAACGCUGGCGGCGUGCCUAAUACAUGCAAGUCGAGCGAACAGACGAGGAGCUUGCUCCUCUGACGUUAGCGGCGGACGGGUGAGUAACACGUGGAUAACCUACCUAUAAGACUGGGAUAACUUCGGGAAACCGGAGCUAAUACCGGAUAAUAUAUUGAACCGCAUGGUUCAAUAGUGAAGGACGGUUUUGCUGUCACUUAUAGAUGGAUCCGCGCCGCAUUAGCUAGUUGGUAAGGUAACGGCUUACCAAGGCAACGAUGCGUAGCCGACCUGAGAGGGUGAUCGGCCACACUGGAACUGAGACACGGUCCAGACUCCUACGGGAGGCAGCAGUAGGGAAUCUUCCGCAAUGGGCGAAAGCCUGACGGAGCAACGCCGCGUGAGUGAUGAAGGUCUUCGGAUCGUAAAACUCUGUUAUUAGGGAAGAGCAAAUGUGUAAGUAACUAUGCACGUCUUGACGGUACCUAAUCAGAAAGCCACGGCUAACUACGUG
rnacentral:rRNA from 1 species